AAUAAGAUGCCUGACUAAAGGAUUAUUUUGAUAGAAUAAAUCAAGUAUAUUUUAUACUCUUAUUG
rnacentral:tRNA from 1 species